rnacentral:rRNA from 1 species
UACGUAGGGGCGAGCGUUGUCCGGAUUUAUUGGGCGUAAAGAGCGUGUAGGCGGCCAGGUAGGUCUGCUGUGAAAACUCGAGGCUCAACCUCGAGACGUCGGCGGAAACCAUCUGGCUAGAGUCCGGAAGAGGAGAGUGGAAUUCCUGGUGUAGCGGUGAAAUGCGCAGAUAUCAGGAAGAACACCCGUGGCGAAGGCGGCUCUCUGGGACGGUACUGACGCUGAGACGCGAAAGCGUGGGGAGCGAACAGG